GGAUGAGUGGCUUAGUCAGCGGUCUGCAAAACCGUGUACGGCGGUUCGAAUCCGCCAGGAA
rnacentral:tRNA from 1 species